AAGUCGUAACAAGGUUUCCGUAGGUGAACCUGCGGAAGGAUCAUUAACUGAGUGAUGUCUUCGGGCAAAUCUCCUCCCUUGUACUAAUUUUCUUAUGUUGCUUUGGCGGGUUGCAUUUUGUUGCCAGUGACUGUCAGUCAUUUGUGGCUGUCAGAAACUCGCCAGAGGUUAAUAAACUCAUAUUCAAUUGUGUGGUCUGAGCUUUAUUUUAAUUGUCAAAACUUUCAACAACGGAUCUCUUGGCUCUG
rnacentral:misc_RNA from 1 species